AGGGUUCGAUCAUGGCUCAGGAUGAACGCUAGCGGCAGGCUUAACACAUGCAAGUCGAGGGGUAACAGGGAUUGCUUGCAAUCCGCUGACGACCGGCGCACGGGUGCGUAACGCGUAUGCAACCUACCUUCUACAAGAGGAUAGCCCAGAGAAAUUUGGAUUAAUACUCUAUACGAUCAUUAACUGGCAUCAGUCAAUGAAGAAAACUCCGGUGGUAGAAGAUGGGCAUGCGUCCUAUUAGUUAGUUGGUAAGGUAAUGGCUUACCAAGACUUCGAUAGGUAGGGGUCCUGAGAGGGAGAUCCCCCACACUGGUACUGAGACACGGACCAGACUCCUACGGGAGGCAGCAGUGAGGAAUAUUGGACAAUGGAGGCAACUCUGAUCCAGCCAUGCCGCGUGCAGGAAGACGGCCCUACGGGUUGUAAACUGCUUUUAUACAGGAAGAACUAUGCCUACGUGUAGGCAUUUGACGGUACUGUACGAAUAAGGAUCGGCUAACUCCGUGCCAGCCGCCGCGGUAAUA
rnacentral:rRNA from 1 species